rnacentral:lncRNA from 1 species
AGCCCCGCCCCGCCCCGCCCCGCGCCUGCCUUGCCCGGUCCGCCCUGUCUUCCAGCAGGGCGGGGCCCGGCUCCGGUUGUUCCGCCACGUUUGAGCGGGCGAGCCCGGCGGCCGGGAGACGCCAGGGAACGGGGCUGGUGGGGGUACAAAGGCUCGGUUCCGUCGCCUUCAGCCCUGCGGUGGGGGCACGGGGCAAGUGAGGGGACGGCAGAGGCGGCGUUCGGUGUGAGGCUGCGCCCUGGGCUCCUGAAAAUCCAGGGCUGCAGUCAUUUGAAGGCUUGACUGGGGCUGGAGGAUUUUCAUCCAAGAUGGCUCACUCACCCAGCUGUUGGCAGGAGACCUCGGUUCUUUGACUUCUCCGUAAGACUGUAGAUCUGGUAUUACUAUAUUGCCUAGAAUGGACUUGAACUCCUAGGCCGAAGGGAUCCUGCCAUCUGAAUUUCCCAAGUAACUGAGAUUACAGACAUGAGCCACCAUGUCUGGCUCUCUCCCAGUGUAUUGAAGGGGUCCAUGCAAUUUCUACCUCCAUUACGUCACUCAGACUGCUUGGUACAUUACCAAAGACCAAAGACCAAAGACCAAAUCCAUGACCAUUUACUCAUCUUUCAAGACUCAGAAGUCAGCUGUGGUACCAAGCCUUUUCUGACCUUCCCAGAUGAAUAACCAAUGCAGAGAGAUGAGGAAAUUUACCAAAGCCAUACAACUAGGACUGGGGACUAAAGGCAAUAGCUUGACUUCUGAAAAGGGCUGGACUGAAGGUCAGCCACAUGGGCAGUGUGAAGGAUCCCCAGCAAAACUCUGGACAUCAGUGGCUGGGCAAGCUUCUCUGGUUGGCGGUACUCUGCAUAUUGUCACACAUCAACUCUGGGAGAAGAUCAUACUGUUCAUGUCUCCACAAGGGGAGGACAGCUGGAAACUCAGUGUCUGGACCUCUUUCCUUGGCUGAUUUUAUUGUGUAUCCUUUCAUUACAAUAAGCUGUAGCCCUGAAUAUAACAGCUUUCAGUGGGCUCUGAGAGUCAUUUUAGUGAGUUAUCAAAACUAAGGGCAGUUUGGGAAUCCCCCUUACUCGUACUUGGUAUCAGAAGCAAGGAUGGCAACCUGUGGGGACUGGUCCCCCUAACCUACAUAGUUGGCCUCAACUCCUGCCAACUCUGUCUCUCUCUCAAACUAAACCCUAGAGUACCUUGUAAUUACUUACCCUUCUUUGAAGAAAGUUAUAUGCCUGAUUUCGUCCUUUUCUCAUUUCUCAUUUACACUUCAGCUAAUUGUGAUUAGACUUGUUCUCACUGUUCCACUCUAAAUGCUCUGACAGAGAUCAUGAAUAAUUGCCUGUUUGCAGCUCAGUCAUCUAUUUGGUAAUUAAACACAUUUUUAUUUAGUGUCACCACAAGUCAGGUAUAAUGUUGGGCCAUGAGAGUUCAGUGAUUACCAAAAUAAAAGCAUUCCUUGCCCUCACAGCACUUAUAGUCCAGUAGGGGGUUCAGGCAAGCCCUCAGAAAACAGCAUGCUAAGGUCUAUGUUAUGGGAAAUAGGGGAGCUAUGGCAGACUUCCUUGGGGCUGGGGGGGGUGGGUGGUCCCAGCCCCCUCUCCUUAGCA